CAUGUAUAAGUAUAAACUUACUUAAAGUGAAACCGCGAAUGGCUCAUUAAAUCAGUUAUGGUUUAUUAGAUCGUACAAUCCACAUGGAUAACUGUGGUAAUUCUAGAGCUAAUACAUGCUAAAACGUCGAAUCGCGAGGUUCGAUAGCUUUUAUUAGAACAAAAACUAACGUUUUUGGUGACUCUGGAUAACUUUGUGCCGAUCGCACGGUCACGUACCGGCGACGUAUCUUUCAAAUGUCUGCCUUAUCAACUGUCGAUGGUAGGUUAUAUGCCUACCAUGGUCGUAACGGGUAACGGAGAAUCAGGGUUCGAUUCCGGAGAGGGAGCCUGAGAAACGGCUACCACAUCCAAGGAAGGCAGCAGGCGCGCAAAUUACCCACUCCCGGCACGGGGAGGUAGUGACGAUAAAUAACAAUGCAGGUCUCUUUCGAGACCCUGUAAUUGGAAUGAGAUCACUUUAAAUCCUUUAACGAGGAUCUAUUGGAGGGCAAGUCUGGUGCCAGCAGCCGCGGUAAUUCCAGCUCCAAAAGCGUAUAUUAAAGUUGUUGCAGUUAAAAAGCUCGUAGUUGGAUCUCGGGUAACGGUGAGAAGCCCGCUUAACCGCGAUCGUUUCUCAGUCCGACCUAUACACCGUUCUCCCUUCGAUGCUCUUCAUCGAGUGUCUUGGGGUCACGGUACCUUUACUUUGAAAAAAUUAGAGUGCUCAAAGCAGGCUUUAUUACGCCUCGAAUAUCGAUGCAUGGAAUAAUGGAAUAGGACCUCGGUUCUAUUUUGUUGGUUUUCGGAAACCGAGGUAAUGAUUAAGAGGAACGGACGGGGGCAUCCGUACUGUGGCGCUAGAGGU
rnacentral:rRNA from 1 species